AGUGAACGCUGGCGGUAGGCCUAACACAUGCAAGUCGAACGGCAGCACAGUAAGAGCUUGCUCUUACGGGUGGCGAGUGGCGGACGGGUGAGGAAUACAUCGGAAUCUACUUUUUCGUGGGGGAUAACGUAGGGAAACUUACGCUAAUACCGCAUACGACCUACGGGUGAAAGCAGGGGAUCUUCGGACCUUGCGCGAUUGAAUGAGCCGAUGUCGGAUUAGCUAGUUGGCGGGGUAAAGGCCCACCAAGGCGACGAUCCGUAGCUGGUCUGGGAGGAUGAUCAGCCACACUGGAACUGAGACACGGUCCAGACUCCUACGGGAGGCAGCAGUGGGGAAUAUUGGACAAUGGGCGCAAGCCUGAUCCAGCCAUACCGCGUGGGUGAAGAAGGCCUUCGGGUUGUAAAGCCCUUUUGUUGGGAAAGAAAAGCAGCAGGUUAAUACCCCGCUGUUCUGACGGUACCCACAGAAUAAGCACCGGCUAACUUCGUG
rnacentral:rRNA from 1 species